CCUCCAUUUCUUGGCAUACAUGUGGUUGUUUAGUACUCAUGUGUGUUAUGUACGGAGGAAAAUCAAAGGCAGCGCUAUGUCUUCGGUGCCGGUGUGUAUUUGAAUCAUCCGGUUCUAUCCUCAAACGCUGUCACAUUG
rnacentral:snoRNA from 12 species